rnacentral:rRNA from 1 species
UCGUAACAAGGUUUCCGUAGGUGAACCUGCGGAAGGAUCAUUACCAAACGAUUCUUUGGAUUCAGUUAGUAGCUUUUUGAUGCGGCGCAAGCCAAAUYGAGAAGUAGUUGGUUGACCGUAAUUAGGAGAAAUCCUUCCAGCUGCACUGAUUGGAUUYAGAGUUUAAUCAACCCCCUGUGAACUAUAAACCCGUACUGUUAUUGUCUUUUGGGUGGUACUGAAGCUGUUUACAGUCGAUGUGCUGCCCAGAAGCGAUAGCGCUUUAUUGAACUACUAAACGAAUUAUAUCUAUACGCAAAAUCUCUUUAUUAUUUAAUAAUAAUAAUUGACAACUUUUAACAGUGGAUCUCUAGGCUCGUGGAUCGAUGAAGAGCGCAGCAAAAUGCGAUACGUAAUGUGAAUUGCAGAAUUCAGUGAAUCAUCGAAUCCUUGAACGCAAAUUGCGGUGUUGGGUAUUCCCGGCACCAUGCUUGGUUGAGUGUCACUUAAUCUAACAAAAUUCAAUUUAUUUUGGGUAUUGUUACAGAUGAGGUUACGAGGCGUCUAUUUAAUAGAACUUCGAACCUUUAAUGACUAGCAAGACGCAUGACUUUUGAAGUUCAUUGCAGCUACUUGUGUGGCAAUAUUGUUUCGACAAUUUAAAGCGCAUGUUGGCUCAGUGGAYGUUAAUUCUUAAAUYAUUGCUGUUCUUACAAAUCUGACUCUAUAUGUCUCCGGACUUAGAAUUUUGACCUCAGCUCAAGCAAGACUACCCGCUGAAUUUAAGCAUAUUAAUAAGCGGAGGAAAAGAAACUAACUAGGAUUCCCUCAGUAACG